ACCCGGUACAGCUCGCCGCGGAGGACCUGUCCCUCUUCGGCAGGGACGUCUGGUGGCUCGUCGUCGUCAAGGCGGUGUUCUGCUUCGCCUUCCUGAUG
rnacentral:tRNA from 1 species